UUAAACUUUGGGGUCUUGGUAC
rnacentral:siRNA from 1 species